AAAGAAUUACAAUAUUUUUGUGUUGCAACUAACAUACUUGACCUUUGCAUAAACAAAAAAUUCAAAAUUCAGAAAAUUUGGAGAACAACACAACAUUUUUGGAGAUGAUAUUCUCAGGAAGUUUGUUGUUCGUUCGGGCAUGGACGUAUUCAAUUUUUACAAAAACUGAAUGAGCAUAUGUAGUCAUUGGUGUACGCCCCAGGUCCUCUAUGAAAUAAUGCAUAAAUUUUAUAGGCCACAAGCAACCAUAGUGAACUCUUUCAAAGUUCAUUCUGUACAUUUCUAGAUUGCAGGAAAAAUGACUCCUAGUCAAUCGAAGAAAAUUCUAAAUGAAUCAGCUCAUAGCAUGUGCAUCUUUUUUGAAUCCUGCCGUAGCUAAGGUCGUCUUGUAGUCACAUAACAAAUUAGAAGAGCAGUGUCAGUGUCAAGAACGUAGACUCAAACAAGGUUGCAGAAAAUCCUAUAAAGAGAGAAGGGAAUAGCAAUAUGGGGAUGAAGAUUACCUCGGCAAGAGGAACGCCAAGAUGACGAGGCAGGAGGUUGGAUAAGAAGUUCAAGGGAGAAGAUGAAGACGUCCAUGGUGCGCCACCGAGGAAGGACGGCAUCGGGGAAUGGGGCCGUGGGCUCCUG
rnacentral:lncRNA from 1 species